UGAAUACGAGAUGCUACGGCGUCGAAGCAGUCUAUGUCAUACUUCCAAGAAAAGCUUGCACUGUCAUAAACAAAUAAUGCCUGUACCAUAACCGACACAGGUGGGUAGGUAGAGUAUACUAAGGGGCGCGAGAUAACUCUCUCUAAGGAACUCGGCAAAAUGACUCCGUAACUUCGGGAGAAGGAGUGCCUUAUUUAUAAGGUUGCAAUAACAAGACCCAAGCAACUGUUUAUCAAAAACACAGGUCUCCGCUAAGUCGUAAGACGAUGUAUGGGGGCUGACGCCUGCCCAGUGCCAGAAGGUUAAAGAAGUUGGUUAGCAUUAGCGAAGCUGAUGACUGAAGCCCUGGUGAACGGCGGCCGUAACAAUAACGGUCCUAAGGUAGCGAAAUUCCUUGUCGGGUAAGUUCCGACCCGCACGAAAGGCGUAAUGAUUUGGGUACUGUCUCAGAGAGGGACUCGGUGAAAUAGACUUGUCUGUGAAGAUGCGGACUACCUGCACCUGGACAGAAAGACCCUAUGAAGCUUUACUGUAACCUGAAAUUGAAAUUGGACUUUAUUUGCGCAGUAUAGGUGGGAGGCUUUGAAGAUAUUCUUGCGGGAAUGUUGGAGCCAUCAGUGAGAUACCACUCUUGUAAUGUUAGAUUUCUAACUUUGUAUCAUUAUCUGGUCAAAGAACAGUUUCAGGCGGGCAGUUUGACUGGGGCGGUCGCCUCCUAAACGGUAACGGAGGCGCACAAAGGUUUCCUCUGAACGGGUAGAAAUCGUAUCUAGAGUGUAAAGGCAUAAGGAAGCUUGACUGUGAGACCUACAAGUCGAGCAGGGACGAAAGUCGGUCUUAGUGAUCUGACGGUGCUGAGUGGAAAGGCCGUCACUCAACGGAUAAAAGUUACUCUAAGGAUAACAGGCUGAUCUCCCCCAAGAGUUCACAUCGACGGGGAGGUUUGGCACCUCGAUGUCGGCUCAUCGCAUCCUGGGGCGGUAGUACGUCCCAAGGGUUGGGCUGUUCGCCCAUGAAAGUGGUACGCGAGCUGGGUUCAGAACGUCGUGAGACAGUUCGGUCCAUAUCCGGUGUAGGCGUUAGAAUAUUGAGAGGAGCCUUCUCUAGUACGAGAGGACCGAGAAGGACACACCUCUGGUGUACCAGUUAUCGUGCCAACGGUAAACGCUGGGUAGCUAUGUGUGGAGCGGAUAACCGCUGAAAGCAUCUAAGUGGGAAGCCCACCUCAAGAUAAGUAUUCUCAU
rnacentral:rRNA from 1 species